GCCUUGAGGAAGCAGGUGAGCUUCUGCAUCUCUGUCUGUCUAGAUACAGAGAACCCCAAAGCCCUGCAGGAUGGCAAAGCUGCAACAUGGAAGUCACCCGGAUCACCACGUAAAGGAAAUCUGCUCUCCAACCAGGAACAAACACCUGCCUUGCAAUAUUAGACUACCACAAUUACUACUUGAGGCUGUCACUACAACAGUUAUUACUGUUACUACUUGAGACCGUCAUUACAGCAGUUACUACUGUUACUGCCUGAGACUUCAUUACAGGACUGAACAAAGGGACGAACGGACACGGAAGAACGUAGAAAUGAAAACUUAAGACAAAACAAACUGUUUUAAAGGAAGAGGCCGGGGAAGAAGAGAGCGCCCUGCUUCUAGUCUACAAGGCUGCGUCUCCUUAGCGGCUGCAGCUCCCAGCAGACAGCCUUGCCGGGUCCCCAUCCUCUGCCUGCUGGUGCCAGCUCUGAGCUCUGCCCUCCCUCUGCCCCUCCACCCCGAGGGCUGGUGUUGAGUUUCUCCUCUUGCAUCACACGGUCCCCUACUUGGCCUCCCAGGUGGGUAACUAAGUCUUCUCAUUAAAUUCCUUUUAUUUUAUUAUGUUAAGUGAAAGAUGUCAUUCAUUAUAGAGUACCUACUCUAUGGUUGUAUUAAUGCAAAGUUCAAGAACAGGAAAGCUCAUCUAUGGUGAUAGAAAUCAGAACAGUCAUUGCCUUGGGGAGCAGAGAGAUAACUGGGAAGGAGCCAGAGGGAACUCCUUGAGAUGAUGCAAAUGUUUUAUACCUUGAUUGAGGAGUUGGUUACAUGAGCGUGUAUGAUUAUGAAGACUCGUUAAACCAUAUGCUUAAAACCUGUAUAUUUAACUGUGCGUAAAUUAUACCUUAAUAAAAUUAGUUCAAUAAGAAUAAAUCCCUGUUUAAAUACCAAGAGCGCUUUCUAAUUUCCUGCUUGGAUCCUAAUGGAAAUACAGUUUUACUUUUUAAACAAAUACAGGUAGACCAUGGAGGAAGAUGUAAAAUUUAUGUAU